rnacentral:rRNA from 1 species
UGGGGAAUCUUGGACAAUGGGGGCAACCCUGAUCCAGCCAUGCCGCGUGAGUGAUGAAGGCCUUAGGGUUGUAAAGCUCUUUCAACGGUGAAGAUAAUGACGGUAACCGUAGAAGAAGCCCCGGCUAACUUCGUGCCAGCAGCCGCGGUAAUACGAAGGGGGCUAGCGUUGUUCGGAUUUACUGGGCGUAAAGCGCACGUAGGCGGAUCGUUAAGUGAGGGGUGAAAUCCCAGGGCUCAACCCUGGAACUGCCUUUCAUACUGGCGAUCUGGAGUUCGAGAGAGGUGAGUGGAAUUCCGAGUGUAGAGGUGAAAUUCGUAGAUAUUUGGAGGAACACCAGUGGCGAAGGCGGCUCACUGGCUCGAUACUGACGCUGAGGUGCGAAAGUGUGGGG